AGUGAAUAGAUACCCGGGUAGUCCACGCCGUAAACUAUGGAUGCUAGCUGUACACCGUAUCGACCCGGUGUGUAGCGAAAGCUAACGCGUUAAGCAUCCCGCCUGUGGAGUACGAGCGCAAGCUUAAAACAUAAAGGAAUUGACGGGGACCCGCACAAGCGGUGGAGCGUGUUGUUUAAUUCGAGGGUAAGCGAAGAACCUUACCAAGGCUUGAAAUCCUGAUAGAGAUACUCCGAAAGGAGUGUUGCAUUUAGUUGGAUCAGUGACAGGUGUUGCAUGGCCGUCGUCAGCUCGUGUCGUGAGAUGUUGGGUUAAGUCCCGCAACGAGCGCAACCCCUUUGUUCAGUUGGAUUUUUCUGAACAGACUGCCCUGGUAACAGGGAGGAAGGAGGGAUGAUGUCAGGUCAGUAUUACCCUUACGCCUUGGGCUACAAACACGCUACAAUGGCCGGUACAAGGGCUGCCAAGUCGCAAGACGGAGCAAAUCCCAUCAAAACCGGUCUCAGUUCGGAUUGCAGGCUGAAACUCGCCUGC
rnacentral:rRNA from 1 species